ACCCCCAAGGACGAUCCCUUCACAGCUCCAGCAACAUUCUCUCCUUCACAAGGACUGUCACCUGAAGACGACUCAUUUGUUGCUCCCAAAGAUCCAUUUUCAUCUCCAACAAAAGCAAUUGAAGUUGACCCUUUCUCCACACCUACUUCACUUCCUAAAGAGGAUUCUUUCUCUGAGCCAUCAAAAUCCAUAAAGGAUGACCCGUUUGCUGCACCAUCAUCACCACCUAUAGAAGACCCAUUUGCAGUGCCAUCCAGUCCACCAGAAAGGAAGGCCUCAGAUCCCUUUGCAGCCCCAGCAGAGGGCUCACCCCAAGACACCAAAAACACUUGGGGGGCACCCUCUGCUCCAACUCAAACAAAUGGGAAAGAUCCUUGGGGAGCAGGAGCCUCUUCACCUAUUAAUGAUUCUGACCCGUUUGGAGAUGCAUCUAAACCAGAAAAUGACCCAUGGGGUGCCCCAGCGUCCGCUCCCAUCUCUGCUGAUGACGCAUGGGGAGCUCCUGCUCCUCCAUCACAGUCCUCUCCAUCCGCUGACCCCUUUGGAGAUGCAGCAUCCAAAUCUAAUGACCCCUGGGGGUCCCCUAGCAAUGACCCCACAGGUAAGUCUCACUCAACUCUUUGGACACACUUUUCUGCUCAUCAUCCUUCAUUCAUUCCUCAAAGCUCCAAUCCUCUGAGGUGUAGCUUCUAAUCUGCGAGCUAUUUUCUAAUCAAAGCCUUAAUACCCAAACCAAACUUUACUUUUCAUCUGUGCUGCAUUUCACCCCCAUCCUCUUCAAUCUGCAGGCAGCUAACUUUCUUAAUCAAUUAACCUUCUCUUCCGCUUUGCUUUCUUUCUCUCUUCCUCCCUGGCCUGUGGCCCCCCUCCCAAAAGAAAACACCUUUUAGAGUAGAGCUGGACCUUUAUUUCAUUACAGGGAGGAGAUGAUCAGAAAGGCCGUGUCCUUCCUGGGCCCGGCGGGGGCGUCGCUGGUUGAUUUGGAUGAUCUGUUUUCCUCCAAACCCAGACAACACCCCCCAACAAACACGCCGGCCCCCCCAACACAAGCCAUGGGCUGUGCCCCCCUCCCUCGCUCCCUCUCCUCGUCCCUUCAAGCUUCUGUCAUUCCUCCUUUUUUCCCAGGCACUUUCACAGACAGCUCAUCUGGUCUCAUGGGUCCGUCAGGGGCUUUUCCCGAAAGCUCCGCCCCAUUCCACAACCCAUUUGGUUCCAGUCUCGCACCCACUCCAUAUGGUGCGGUGAAUCCCCUUUUGGAGCUGCAGGUGAACCCCACACAUUUCAGCCCCCACCAUAUAAUUUUGGAGGGUCUCAGUCUGCAGCUUGGGGGGUUCCUGAAGCGGCAAAGGUGCAGCUUGGGUCUCUGAGAGGGAGCGCUGAGGGAAGGAUGCAGUCUGGGAUGGCAUUGGGAGGAAACCUCCCGGCAGGUGUGGCUCACCUUUGCGGUUCCACCGCGACCAACAAGAACAACAACCCGUUUUUGUUUUGACAUUUCAUCACACCAGGAAAACAGCUAAUCACUUUAUUCACAGGAAAAAAAACAGCACAUUUUGGAAGAAAGCAAUAAAAUAUAUUUCAAUUCAGACUUUUCAGUUUGAUCCACCAUCAGCAGAACCAAUUCCAGUGGUGUUCAGAUGAUUGGACAGAAAAUGGUUCCCUCCUGGAGGUAGAAGGUGCGACUUUUUUAUUUCUGUUUUCCUUGGCAACAACCUAAAGUGACAUCACAGUCAAAAACAAAAAAAGUAAAGGAAAAUAUAUGUGUAUUGUAAUUUAACAUACAUAUCUAUUUUUAAUUUUUUUUCUUUUUCUAAAAAAAUUGAAGUAAAAGAACAAAAAUCCCGGUUACUAACAGUAACAGUAUCAGAUAAUUAAUCCCAAAAAAAAUUUUUUUUUUUUUUCUAAUUUAAGUUAUUGUUUCCUAAAAAAACUCCUAGUUACUAACUGAUGCACACCAGUUAAAACCUGGUGAAGACAGUUAGAAACAAAAUUUUAUUUGGUCUAAUUUUCUAGGAGAAAAGAACUAUUCAUUUUUUUUUUCAGUUUUUUUUCUUUAAUGUUUUCUUCAACCAAUUCUUUCUAAACCCUUGUUGUUAAUCAGACUUAUUAACAUUUGUAUUAAUAAUACUAAGAGUUAUAUCAUAAAGGUGUCCUUACCUGUGAGGAUGCCAUCCUUGCAAGAGGAACUAGAAAGCAAUGGAAUUCAGACAUUUCCUCCCAUUGCCAUGGUGACAGCUUAGUUCUUUAAAUAAUAGGACUGUCAAUUGAUGUGGUUAUAAUUGAAAUAUAUAUAUAUGAAGAUACUCAAAGGCUCACUCUGAUCAUCUUUUGAUCUAUUUGAACAUUGUUCCCUGUGGUUUUAAUUAGGAUUUUCUUUUUUUUAGCCAAAAUAAAAAAAAAUUAAAGUUAUUUUCUAGUAGAUUGUUACUGCAGUAAUUUACCUCUAAGUUGAGGGCACGGGACAACGACAUCACAAAUAUGUCUUUUUCAAAUUACAUUUUUUCAUCUGUUCCCGAUUGAUUUGGGCUUAGUUCUCUUUAUGUAUUUCCUCCAUUUGUCACAACAACAUGCUAUAAACAGUUUUGAUCAGAGUGGGCUUUUAAAUGAUCACAGAAACGAUAAACUGCUAAUCGUUCAUGAACGUCUUAUUUCUGAAAGAACAUUUUUCUGGUCAGUCGCACAGUUUUUUGCAGUCGCCUAGAGAUCUGAUGAGAAACAAAAUGCAUAAAAAUGUUUUAAAAAUGCAUCUAUUUAAAAUUUUCCCACCCAUGAGGGUUAGACUUGUGUGUUUCUUUGUGUGAGUGUGUAUGCGGUACAUAUUCACUAUAUAUUGUGCUGAUGUUUGUAAAUAAUGAAAGUAAAAACAGAGAAAACCUUAAAGUGUAUAUCAGAGUGUUACAAUGAUCUAUUUAUUGAAGCGUUUGUUGGUUUUUCGAUGUAGCAGCGGCCUUUCAAAGCGGCCAUCGUUUCGGAGAACGCGUGAUUGGUUCCUGUUCUAAACUCAUCGUGCGUUUGUGUGUGUUUUUCCCCCUCCAUCAGUGGAAAACGAGCCUCACUGAUGGCUGAAUACAAACUUGAACACAGCUUGUGCAUGCGGUUCGAGCUGCUCCUGUAAUCGUGCAUCUGCCUUUCAGUGAUCUUGAUGUGACUGAAUACAAUGCUGCAUUUCUGGAGUGGGAUGUCUUCUGUUUAAGUCCUGCUGAACGGACAAGGAAGACACAGCCGUUCAGUUCAAGGUGUUACACUCAAGAACAAGUCCACAUGAAUAUAAUUUUUCAGGUUUAUUUUGUAUUAAAUGGGUCUAUUGCUGUAUAUUUCAGUUUAAGGCUGUGUUGUAUUAUGUGAAAGCAUUCAGUAC
ensembl:lncRNA